AUGGCCAAGGAAGGGGACGAGCCGUCGGACUUGGAGAGGGGGUCCAGGCCUGGCUCCGUAGUAAUCGUUGUCGUUGCGCCGCCAGCAAACUUCGGCGCCCGGCCAAGGUCCUCCGCUGCCGCCGGCGGAGAAGACGACGACGACGAUCGCAAGAUGCCGAACUACGUUUGGGUGCCUCUGCAGCUGCUGCUGACGGCGGUCGCGUGCUGCCCGCUGCUGGCGCUGGUUAUGACGCGGACGGACUGGGUGGAGAAGGUCGUCUUCUCCGCCGUUCUGCUGCCCACAGUCGUCGGCGUCUUCUUCUUCCUGCGCGCCGUGUGCAAGAGGCCGCGCAUGGCCGUCGUGACAAGCAUGAUCAAGAGAUAG
rnacentral:rRNA from 1 species